GUGCCAGCCGCCGCGGUAAAACGUAGGUGGCAAGCGUUAUCCGGAUUUACUGGGCGUAAAGGGUGUGCAGGCGGCCUGUCAAGUGGUGUAUGAAAUCGUCCGGCUCAACCGGGCGCAGCUAUGCCAGACUGACAGGCUAGAGACUGACAGAGGGUGGUGGAAUUCCGGGUGUAGUGGUGAAAUGCGUAGAGAUCCGGAGGAACCCCAGAGGCGAAGGCGGCCACCUGGGUCAGUACUGACGCUCAGACACGACAGCAUGGGGAGCGAACGGGAUUAGAAACCCCUGUAGUCC
rnacentral:rRNA from 1 species